GACAUGUCUGAAUACCCAUACUAGCAUACUACAUACUAUACGUAUACUUGAUAUGACUACUAAUCGUCGCAUACUAUUUAGCAUGUAAUGUUUAGUAAAAGGUAUGCUGUAUGUCACGGCUGCAAUGCAGUCGCAGCUCCUGAUUGGCUGAGUAGGUGGGGCGGGGCCGAGUGUGGGUGAAUUUGUCCAAAUGCAAAAGACAUGCAUCUCAUUAACCAGCCUGAUAAUAGCUCAUUUCUAAUUGUAUUAAUUUCUCUAAACUCUGAAUAAAACUACCUACUCCACAGUAGACCUAUACAGUAGUAGACCAUAUAGACAAUCUACCCUAUUUAAAAACAGACUGAAGACAGAAACAGACCAUUUGGUUCCAUUUCAACAUAUUUAUUAUUUUAUUAGUUCAACGUUUUUUAAAGUGUUUAAAUCAAAAGGCUAUUGGACAGAAAAACUUGAGCAUUCGGUGCAUCGCGAAUUAGGAACCGCUGGACAGCAACGUAAUAAACGAACGCGCUGAUCAUUGGGAACGAGAUCAGAAUGACUGCUAAGGCCUGAUCCAUAAAUUAAAUCAUUCAAUAGGUAGCCUAGCCUACAAAACUAAAACAAAAGGCCUGAUUCACAUGACAUCAAUACCACAGCAACAUCCCAAGUCCCCGGUGUCGACACGUUCAGAAAUCAAAAGAUAAUUUUAAAACUCUGACGAAGACCAAGAGAACAAGAAACACUUUUCAGAGAGGAAACAAAAAUCCACUUUGGGCAAUUAGGAGUCACAGCCGCCUCUCCCCCUCCAUGGAUGAGGCAGCCAGCUGACAAGGCUGCUGUGGUUCCCGCCAAUGGCGGAGGUUGGACUAUGGCUGGCAAAAGAAGCAUCCAGAUUCAGACUUACGGGGUUCCAUGGCCAAGGUAGAAGGCUGAUCUUGUCGGGGUACCAUGCCGGAGCAGACAGCUGCAGCUGCAGACACGAUUUUUAAUUGCAUGUUGAGUGCCCAGUGGGUGGAUGCUGUGUUGCCCUUUUAACAUUGAGUAACUUUGUGUGUUAUAGCCGUCAGGCCUUACUAUACAUUGAAUAAUCUAAUGGUGUGUUAUCAUAGUUGCUCUGGCAGUUUUGUGUGUACUAUUCAUCUUACCAAAAUAACUUUAUUUGUUAUUGUACACCCUUUUUCUCCCCAAUUUCGUGAUAUCCAAUUGCAAUCCAACUAUGAUCUUGUGUCAUCGCUGCAACUCCCCAACGGGCUCAGGAGAGGCAAAUGUCAAGUCAUGCGUCCUCCGAAAAAUGACACACCAAACCGCGCUUCUUAACACCUGCCUGCUUAACCCGGAAGCAAGCUGCACCAACGAGGAAACACCGUUCAACUGACGGCCGAGGUUAGCCUGCAGGCGCCUGGCCCACCACAAGAAGCCGCUAGAGCGCAAUGAGCCAAGUAAACCCCCCUGGCCAAACCCUCCCCUAACCUGUGCGCCGUCCUAUGGGACUCCCGGUCAUGGCCGGUUGUGACACAGCCUGGGAUAGAACCCGGGUCUGUAGUGAUGCCUCAAGCACUGUGAUACAGUGCAUUAGACUGUUGCACCACUCAGAAGGCCCCCAAAAUAACUGUGUUUUGCUGUGAAUUAUGGUUGCAUAGCCAGUAAUGAGCCAGUAUAUUCAAUUCACUAAUACCAAACAUGUGCAUUUAACAUAACAUCUCUAUAUUUAGUAUUUUGAUCGUCGACAAGGUGUAUUUGAGCUAUGGUCAGCGCCUUUUUAAGGAGGGAGGUGAUAGAAGGCUCUGUGUACCACAGUCUUUCAGUUUGUUACGUGAUAUUGCUUAGUUUAUCAUUUGUGUCAACUUUGAAUUAAAUCUAAGCCACAGAUUGUUAACUCCUUAAUUUUGUACCUUUAUAGACAAAGACCCGAAGACAUUCAAGCAGCACUUUGAGAGUAAGCAUCCCAGUACUGGUUGAUGUGCUGGCCUAAGUGGACCAAAUGGACCUACUGCUGGGACAGACGAUGACCACGAUUUGAAAUCUGCAACUGAGAUGGAAUAACAUUGAGGGACACACGCUGACACCGAGUAUGACUGGACAUGGGCCGGAUAUUUGGGACAACAACCUGAAAGGGGUGCAUAAGCACACCAGCACCCCAAUUUAUGUUAUUCCAUGGCCAACCAUCCCACUAGCUACCCCUUAUUCCACACUAUGCCGUGUAUGCCCCCUCAACUCCAGACACUUUGGAACUAUCCACCUUCCCAACCUACCUUCACUGAUUUUCGCUAUGCUGCUUCCUUCACUUGUUCUUCUAAUAGCAUCUAGAAUCAGUAACACCUUUAAAUGUGGUCCUGCUUUAAAUGACGUUCUGCUUAUAAAGCCUUCAUAAUGCCGUCAUAAGCACAACACAAGUGUUGCAAAGCAUCUAUAACCGUAUGUCAUGCUUUAUAAAGGGUUCAUAAAUGUGGCAUAACUGUGUUACAUAAUCACCCAUGUCAAAUGUGACAACACUUAUGUUGAAUAUGAUACAAUCAAGUGCUUUAUAACGGGUGACAUGUUGUGUUGCGUUGGCACAGGAUGGCACAUGCGCUACAGUGAAGUCAUGUUAGCCACAUUACACCUAAUCUCGAUCCCAGACACCCAAAUGCACAGAAGGUCUAGUGGACCAAUGCAUGAAACUUGGCCUUCAUUAGUUAGGGUUGGGUUUCACAUGAAAUUUGAAUCAGAUUGAUUGAGGAAAUGGGCAGUGAUUAGCCAUAAUUAUGACUCUGUGGCUGUACUUCAUAAGUCAUCAGAACCUUAAUGACCUAUUUAAGGACACUUUAUCUGGUGUCCUGUAAUACUUUGUUUGAAGUGAUACAACUUCGGUCAUUCAUAACACAUCCGUAAAGACUCUAUAUCCCAUAGCGCUGUACUUUAAAGUCUCCUUUAGUCAUUCAUAGCACAUACAUAAAUGCCUUGUAUCAUAUGACGCUGUACUUACUAUAAAGUCAGACACAUUUGGUCAUUUCUAAACACACAUAGAUGCCUUGUAUCAUAUGACGCUGUACUUACUAUAAAGUCAGACACAUUUGGUCAUUUCUAAACACACAUAGAUGCCUU
ensembl:lncRNA